rnacentral:misc_RNA from 1 species
GAUGAAGAACGUAGCGAAAUGCGAUAAGUAAUGUGAAUUGCAGAAUUCAGUGAAUCAUCGAAUCUUUGAACGCACAUUGCGCCCCCUGGUAUUCCGGGGGGCAUGCCUGUUCGAGCGUCAUUUCACCACUCAAGCCUCGCUUGGUAUUGGGCAACGCGGUCCGCCGCGUGCCUCAAAUCGACCGGCUGGGUCUUCUGUCCCCUAAGCGUUGUGGAAACUAUUCGCUAAAGGGUGUUCGGGAGGCUACGCCGUAAAACAACCCCAUUUCUAAGGUUGACCUCGGAUCAGUAGGGAUACCCGCUGAACUUAAGCAUAUCAAUAAGCGGAGGA